rnacentral:rRNA from 1 species
UACGUAGGGGGCAAGCGUUAUCCGGAUUUACUGGGUGUAAAGGGAGCGUAGACGGCAGGGAAAGUCUGGAGUGAAAGCCCGGGGCUCAACCCCGGGACUGCUUUGGAAACUGCCUAGCUAGAGUGCAGGAGAGGUAAGAGGAAUUCCUAGUGUAGCGGUGAAAUGCGUAGAUAUUAGGAGGAACACCAGUGGCGAAGGCGUCUUACUGGACUGUAACUGACGUUGAGGCUCGAAAGCGUGGGGAGCAAAUAGG